rnacentral:rRNA from 1 species
AUGAACGCUGGCGGCGUGCCUAAUACAUGCAAGUCGAGCGAACGGACGCGAAGCUUGCUUUUCUGAUGUUAGCGGCGGACGGGUGAGUAACACGUGGAUAACCUACCUAUAAGACUGGGAUAACUUCGGGAAACCGGAGCUAAUACCGGAUAAUAUUUUGAACCGCAUGGUUCAUAAGUGAAAGACGGUCUUGCUGUCACUUAUAGAUGGAUCCGCGCGGCAUUAGCUAGUUGGUAAGGUAACGGCUUACCAAGGCAACGAUGCAUAGCCGACCUGAAAGGGUGAUCGGCCACACUGGAGCUGAGACACGGUCCAGACUCCUACGGGAGGCAGCAGUAGGGAAUCUUCCGCAAUGGGCGAAAGCCUGACGGAGCAACGCCGCGUGAGUGAUGAAGGUCUUCGGAUCGUAAAACUCUGUUAUUAGGGAAGAACAUAUGUGUAAGUAACUGUGCACAUCUUGACGGUACCUAAUCAGAAAGCCACGGCUAACUACGUG